rnacentral:lncRNA from 1 species
UAAAAAAUGAUAUACUAGUUUAGGGUAGUUAUCUCUAGUUUCUUAAUUGGUGGAUAAAAGAUUUUAUGGCAAAACAUGGUAUACUUUAGGAAAUACUUUAGACACCCAUCACCUUCUUAGUAGGAAAUACUUUAGACACCCAUCACCUUCUUAGAGUGUUACAAAGGCACAGUGACAUAUUAAAGGCUCUGAAAAAUUUUGUGGUAAUGUGACCUGGUUAAUUUUAUUGAUUCAAUAUUUCUUGGAUUUAUUUUUACCAAGGAGUACCUUCAUUUUUAUGUAAUAAUUUACCAAUAUGCUGUAUUGUUUGAUCAGAUAGGUUUGGGAAAUGCUGGCCUGGAGUUGCUUCUGUGGAUGAGAGAGAGGUGCUACCCCUGGUGACUUCCUUUUUGUCUUUUUUCCCCCCAUAUAAUGGGGCAGUUACCUCUCUUCCUCUUCCUGUUUCUAUUUCAUCAGUGCCAAGGUCUGUCACGUUUAGGUUUUCUAAAUGACAAAGGCUUCCGCUGAGGUUAAUUGUUUUGGUUGCUGUUAAAAAGGGGGGUAGACAGUUGUAUUUCAUUGGUGACAUUUGUUGACAAGGAGCUUUACAGGAGAUGUGAAAAAAAAAACAAAAACAAAAACAACUUCCUUCAUUCCACUGCUCUUAGAAACUCUAUAAGCCAAACAUAAGAUCUUUUCUGGGUCUCUAAGUGCCCCAGCGAUGAUGUGAGCAGCAGUCAUGCAUCUGUGGCAAGCUUUUCUUAGUGAAGAUCCCAGUUUUAAAGGCAUCUACAGUGCACCUACAAGGAAGUGGUUUAUUUCUUGGUUAAAAACACCAGUUUAGAGGGACUUCAUGCAUACUUUACAAGCUGACUCUGCAAAAAUACACUGCAGAUAUUCCUGGAAUGAACGGCAAAGGUAACUGCUCUGAAUUCUGAUGAGACAGCCUGGGAAGAGCUGGCACAUCUAUGAUCUAUCGUGGCCCUAUAAAAAAGGAAAGUGAAAAAGAAAAAUUGUUUGAUAAGCACACACACCAGGUGACUUAAAUCGCAAGAUCUUAUUUUAAUUCUCAUAACAGCCUUACGAGGCAAUGUUACCCCAUUUUACAGAGUGAGACAGGAUGAUGAAGACGUUAAGAUUGAAUCAAAGUCAUCCUGCUGGUAAGUGGCAGAGCUAGAAUUCAAAUCCCUGUUCUUGUCACCAUAUUACUGUCCAUUUGUAGUGGCUCUUCACUCUCUACCAUUCCUUGUCCUUAGUAGGGUGAUUCUACUGCUAUCCUUUUAUCCAAAAACUUUCUUGUGAGAGCCAGAUUUUCUACUUCCUUCAAAAGAACAACCCAGGGACC